GGUCUUCGGAUUGUAAAGCACUUUAAGUUGGGAGGAAGGGCUUACGGUUAAUACCCGUGAGUUUUGACGUUACCAACAGAAUAAGCACCGGCUAACUCUGUGCCAGCAGCCGCGGUAAUACAGAGGGUGCGAGCGUUAAUCGGAAUUACUGGGCGUAAAGCGCGCGUAGGCGGUUUGGUAAGUUGGAUGUGAAAGCCCUGGGCUUAACCUGGGAA
rnacentral:rRNA from 1 species